rnacentral:lncRNA from 1 species
AGCAACACUUGUGAGAGUGGGGCUCCUGGCGCGCUGUCGCCCGAGGGGGCCUCUGGGAAGGCGCUGGCGGUGGUUGACUCCGGGUGCCUUUCGCCCCCGAAUCUUCCCAAGUGGUCAUGCUAAUGAGGGUCCUUAGCGGGGCCCCGGUGGCCUCUGUCGGGGGUUCCCUGUAGGCCCUGGCAUUCCUCGAACGCCGGGUCCAGGGUAGGUGGACUGGCGCACGUACGCUCUGGUUUUCCGACUUUGGGGAGUUCCUGUGCUCCGCAGAAAAAAGCAAGAAGAAAGAAAAGGCGAGCUGUAGCCCCAUGCUGUGGCUCCUUGAUGAAUGUCCGCCAGGCUCCGGAGGCCUGACGAAGGAUCAAUAGCGGGUGGCUUUUCUCGCGGGGUCUGAACUCCUGUCGUGGGCCUUAGUGAAGAGGAGCCGCCAAUAAAUACAGUGCUGUGGCAUGGUU